GAUGAAGAACGUAGUGAACGUGCGAAACGUAAUGUGAAUUGCAGAAUUCAGUGAAUCAUCGAAUCUUUGAACGCAUCUUGCGCUCCUUGGUAUUCCGAGGAGCAUGCCUGUUUGAGUGUCGUGAAUACUCUCAACUUCAACCCUUUUUUCGGAAAGGGAGGAAGGUUGGACUUGGGUGUUUGUUGAAGUGCGAGCUUCGACUCAUCCUAAAUGCAUUAGCGAUCUGCCUCGAUCACACACAAUGUGAUAAUUAAAACUAAAGCAUUGUUUAAUGAUCAAGUCGAGACUGCUUCUAACUGUCGCAAGACAAUAACGUGCAUACAUUUGUGCAUGUCAUUUGACCUCAAAUCAGGUAGGACUACCCGCUGAACUUAAGCAUAUCAAUAGCGGAGGA
rnacentral:misc_RNA from 1 species